UGUCUUGUAUAGCCGUAUAUUCGAGAAACGACGGAUUCUCCAACAUACCCAACCCCGGAACCCUUAAACGACCAUGAAAAGUUGUUAACGGCUUUCAUUUUUUAUCCUUGUGAUCCAUUUACUGGGGAUGCUUACAUGCACUUGAAAAUGUUUGGAAUUGAAAGAUUCUUUGCAACCCGGUAUGAUUUGUGCAGCUUGAAACACAAAGCAUGGAUAUUGGACACGAUUUGUGUGAUAUGAUUUUGCCACCUGGUUGAAGUAUUUAAUUUAUUAUGAUUCAUUUGCAUUUUAGUCCAAUGUGGUUACCUAUGUAUGAUUAAAUUUGGUAGCUGUGCAAAUGACAAAUGAGGAAAGGUCCAACCAUCCAGACAAGCGCCACUUUAUGUGGUAUUUGCCGGUUAUUGUAUCGAGGCAAAUAUUAGGCAAUCCCAACCUCAAUGAUUGUGAUUUGAAGAAGUUAUGUGAUAGCUACUUUGGAGAUGCAAAUUUUACUACUGACCUUAGCUCAUGCUCCAUGGUAAAGUUAAAAAAUGUUGACCUAAGAAAUAUACAUACCAACAAAUGAUGGUGGGAACCAUUGGUUUUGCAUCAAGGUAGACCUGGGCAUCCAGAUGGCUUACAUUUUUGAUUCAAAGCCGGCCACUCGAUCCAAUUUGUUCUGUAAGCGACUGACAAAAAAAGUGAUGGAGGCAUUACAUCGUGCCUUGCGGUUGCAAUAUAGAGACCUCUAUAAGGCUGAUGUCAGCAAGUUUAACAUUGCUAAUGUUGAAAGGCAACCUCUGCAGCAUGAGAUCGACGAAUGGAUGAUACUGAGAGGCCAAGGUUGUUAAUGGAUUUGAUUGUUGACCCAAAUAAUCGGGAAGCCGAUACGGUUGUGGAAAAAUUUGACGAAUAGAAGACAAAAAAAGGUAAAACGGGCUUUGUGUACGCAGGUGGUCACUUGGUUCGUUUAUACACUAACAAUCU